CUAAACUUUGUCCUUAGGGAUACUCAGGUUCUUGUUCCAGUGCUGGUGGGACCCCAGGGAAGUUGCUUUACCUCUCUGAGCCUCCAUCUCUUCAUUGAAAUGGUCCCUGCUUCCCCAUGUCAGUGGGGUCAUUAAGGGAGAUGACUGGCAAUCACUCGGCUCAAAGUGGCUGCCAUCAACCUCAGAUCUGCCAUCACCUCCUCUCUCCUUGUGGCAGGCUGAGAGGAGGGAGAGGGACAGGGAACGUGCAUUAGAUGGCUUCCUGUUGCUAACACAAAUCCACGAAGUGGAGAAGUUAUAAAGAAAGAAUCUGAUUGUGACGUAAUGUUCUGAAGGUCCAAGGGCGGAGGGUUCACAUCUAGAGAUGGCCUCCUUUCUGGCCAAGUCUGGGGGCGGAUCAGGGUGUCUCGUAGUCUGGCUCCGGCCCCCAGAGGUGGAGGACAUCUCCAGCCUCUCAGUAGCUCACAGUGGGGAUUAGACGCCAACAGGGGCUUCCGAGGGGGCAAAUCACAUAAUGAGCCCUAGUGGGAGGGAGAGAAGUCACACACCCAGCAGCAGAGAGGAGGGAGGUCGCACAUCCUGGCCUCAUGGGAGAGAGGAGAGAGGUUCGGCAGGGUGAGGAGGUACCAAGGGCUGUGUCUUCUCCGUCAGUGCCCUUGACCCAGCACCACGCUGGCACAUACUUGGUUCACGGUGGAGCGAGGCGUGGCACAUUGCCACAUUGAAGAUGCCGGGGCUAGGGCUGGGGUGUGUGGGGCAGACACCACUUUCUCUCCCACCCACACGCGCCCCACUGGCUGGGGUUGCCAGCCUGCCGCUGGACCCUCGGCUCUCCUCGCAGUCUCCCGAUCUCUCCAGAACACCCACGUUUCUAUUCUGGCUCAUUUGUUUCUCUUCUGAAGUCCAUUGUUCACCCAGUUGCUCAUUUAAUCCACUGACUAAGCAGGAGGGAUCAAUUUUCUUUUCAAUACAAGAAGAUUGGCCAGCGCCAUUGUGGUCUGUCAUUCCAAGAUGGUGGGAGAAAUCUCUGAGGAAAGUUCUCACAGCAAGGAAAAAGAAGACUUGGGCCUCACCAAGAGCACAAGAAAGUACAUCUUAGACCUUCAAUGAUGCCAUUUAACCUCACAAUUAAAUAAAUUUAAG
rnacentral:lncRNA from 1 species